UACGAACUGUGCAAACGUUAUUCGGAAUCACUGGGCUUAAAGGGUGCGUAGGCGGCUUGUUAAGUAGGGUGUGAAAUCCCCCGGCUCAACCGGGGAAUUGCGCCCUAAACUGGCGAGCUGGAGUGAGAUAGGGGUGUGUGGAACUUCCAGUGGAGCGGUGAAAUGUGUUGAUAUUGGAAGGAACGCCAGUGGCGAAAGCGACACACUGGGUCUCAACUGACGCUGAGGCACGAAAGCGUGGGUAUCAAACAGG
rnacentral:rRNA from 1 species